rnacentral:rRNA from 1 species
GGGCCCGCACAAGCGGCGGAGCAUGCGGAUUAAUUCGAUGCAACGCGAAGAACCUUACCAAGGCUUGACAUAUAGAGGAAAAGUGCAGAAAUGCACUCCCCGCAAGGUCUCUAUACAGGUGGUGCAUGGUUGUCGUCAGCUCGUGUCGUGAGAUGUUGGGUUAAGUCCCGCAACGAGCGCAACCCCUGUCGUUAGUUGCCAGCAUGUAAAGAUGGGGACUCAUGGGAUACUGCCGGGGUCAACUCGGAGAAGGUGGGAUGACGUCAAAUCAUCAUGCCCCUUAUGUCUUGGGCUUCACGCAUGCUACAAUGGCCGGUACAGAGGGCUGCAAUACCGCAAGGUGGAGCGAA